CUCUGCAGGUAGAGGAGAAUCUUUAACAAGAUUGGGUAGAAAAGAGGAGGCAAGUUCUUUUUACUAUUCCAUGGGAAAAUAAGCUGUUGGAUUAUUGUCUGGAAACUGUGUGAAGUGCCAAGAUGAGCAGUGAGAGGCCGGAGAACCCUGGUCCCUCCUCACUGACUGAAGGCCUGAAGAGAAAGAGGGGAAGACCAAAGAAACAGCCACAGGAGGAGGCUGUGGGCCCACUGCCGGAGAAAAAGCCACGAGGAAGGCCGAAAGGAAGCAAGAAAGUGAUCAGUGUAACUGGACAAAUGGUAGAACCUCCUGCUGGGAAGAGGCCACGAGGAAGGCCCCGCAAGUGGCCUCAGCUGGUGACACAAGGAGCAUCUCAGGAAGGUGGCCCUCAGGGAAGCGGUGACAUGGAUGUGAACCCAGUGCCUGCCAAGCAAGGCAUCACUGGAAAAGACAGUUUCAAGCCCAGCAAAGCCUCUGCUGUUCGGAGGUCUCUGAGCAGCAUCGCCGCCGCAGCUCAGUAGUGUGCUGCCUCUCGUGUCCUGCUGGAGCCAGAGGACAGGAAAGCAAGCAGCACUCCUACUGUCCUAUUUCAAAUUGUUCUUUGUGGUGAUUUUGGCUGUGCUUUCCCCUCUGUUGUCUGCUGGCUUACCCCAAACAUCCACGCAGACUUAAGGGACAAAACAACAGAUACCUUCUCAGGGAGAUGCCUUUCUCAGUUUGUAGUAGAUUUUUUGAGGAUAUUAAUCCUUUUUAACAGUGCUAUGGUGACACAGUGCCUUGUGCUGCCACAGGUAGUGAUAGUUCCAUAGGGUGAUAGUGUUGUCUCAGUUAUAUACAGAUACAACCAAUCUGCAUAGCUAACCACUGGUCUUGCAUCAUACCACCUCUGGUACAUGACGGUGUAGUCCAGGAAUUAAAUUUUGUUGAUUUGCUCAUAGGGACUGCAUCUGAAAGACAGAGUUCUUCCCUCACCAUACCACAAAGGAGGAAAAAAAAAAAAAAAAAAAAAACCCAAAAACCAACUUGAUGGCAUUUCCAGCUUACCUACAGUUGUCGCUCCAGUGGUCAGCGACUUGGAUGCUUCAGAGGAAAGCUCACACCCCAGACCUCAGGGGUUGACUCUGAAAUGUUUCUCCUGGUGUUAGCAGCUCAGGGCCAUCUUCCAUACCUCGCUGUUGCCUCGUGGCACAGCCCUGAAUUUAUUAGCAAUUUUCAUGAACAUGUUUACAAAGCUUAGUUAUAGCCACUGGAUUUCAUCACUUCCAAGGAGUGCCUGUAAAGAACCAAAGUGAUUCAACGGCUGCUGCUUUGCAGAGCUUCGGGAUACAACUGAAAUUACUGUUGCACCUGCAUGCAUAAUGUGCUCUGUGGGGUCCUCUAGUGUUGCAGCUGUGCAAAUAAAAGCUGGCUGCUACCUAGCA
rnacentral:lncRNA from 1 species